rnacentral:tRNA from 1 species
GUGUGGGUAGAUUAGGAUUGGUAAAAUCGUUAGGCUGUUAACCUUAAGAAGGCUCUUUGUGGCUCCCAGACG